rnacentral:rRNA from 1 species
CUACGGGCCGCUGCAGUGAGGAAUAUUGCACAAUGGAGGAAACUCUGAUGCAGCAACGCCGCGUGGAGGAUGACGCAUUUCGGUGUGUAAACUCCUUUUAUAUGUCAAGAAAAUGACGGUAGCAUAUGAAUAAGCACCGGCUAACUCCGUGCCAGCAGCCGCGGUAAUACGGAGGGUGCAAGCGUUACUCGGAAUCACUGGGCGUAAAGGACGCGUAGGCGGGAUAUCAAGUCAGGUGUGAAAUCCUACAGCUUAACUGUAGAACGGCACCUGAAACUGGUAACCUAGAGUAUGGGAGGGGGAGAUGGAAUUAGUGGUGUAGGGGUAAAAUCCGUAGAUAUCACUAGGAAUACCUAAAGCGAAGGCGAUCUCCUGGAACAUAACUGACGCUAAGGCGUGAAAGCGUGGGGAGCAAACAGGAUUAGAUACCCUAGUAGUC